AUUGAACGCUGGCGGCAGGCCUAACACAUGCAAGUCGAACGAGUUGAGAACGGGUGAGUAACGCGUAGGUAACUACCUAUUAGAGGGGGAUAACUAUUGGAAACGAUAGCUAAUACCGCAUACUAGUAGAUGGACCUGCGUUGUAUUAGCUAGUAGGUAGGGUAAUGGCCUACCUAGGCAACGAUACAUAGCCGACCUGGGAGGGGGAUCGGCCACACUGGGACUGGUAAACGGCCCAGACUCCUGCGGGAGGCAGCAGUAGGGAAUCUUCGGCAAUGGGGGGAAACCUGACCGAGCAACGCCGCGGGAGUGAAGAAGGUUUUCGGAUCGUAAAGCUCUGUUGUUAAGGAAGCGGUACUUAACCAGAAAGGGACGGCUAACUACGUGCCAGCAGCCGCGGUAAUAC
rnacentral:rRNA from 1 species